UCACCCCUCAAGCCCCCGGCUUGGUGUUGGACGGUUUGGUUUGGGCCUCCCCCUAGACCCCUCCUAAAGAUAAUGACGGUGGGCUGUUUGCACCCCCGGUACACUGAGCUUCUUAACCGAGCACGUAUCGGAUCCAGGGUCGACGGCGCCCGGUCUUCACCUAAAACUUUUCAAG
rnacentral:misc_RNA from 1 species